rnacentral:hammerhead_ribozyme from 1 species
AGCAGCUGACGAGUCCCAGCUAGAACGAAACGCGUGUCCUGGAU